rnacentral:rRNA from 1 species
UAGUAGUUUGUACUCUGGCUCGAGGACGAACGCUGGCGGCGUGCUUUAACACAUGCAAAGUCGAACGGAAAGCUCCAGCUUGCUGAGUACUCGAGUGGCGAACGGGUGAGUUAACACGUUGGGUAAUCUGCCCUGCACUCUAGGAUAAGCCUGGGAAACUGGUCUAAUCUGGAUAUGACCUUUCCCUUAUGGGGUUUGGUGGAAAGUUUUUCGGUGUAGGAUGAGCCCGCGGCCUAUCAGCUUGUUGGUGGGGUGAUGGCUCCAAGGCGACGACGGGUAGCCGGCCUGAGAGGGUGAUCGGCCACAUUGGGACUGAGAUACGGCCCAGACUCCUACGGGAGGCAGCAGUGGGGAAUAUUGCACAAUGGGCGGAAGCCUGAUGCAGCGACGCCGCGUGUUAGGGAUGACGGCCUUCGGGUUGUAAACCUCUUUCAGCAGGGACGAAGCGUAAGUGACGGUACCUGCAGAAGAAGCACCGGCUAACUACGUG